rnacentral:rRNA from 1 species
CUGCCCCUGUCAGGGGGACAACCCGCCGAAAGGCGGGCUAAACCCGCGUACAUGCCACCGGGGCAUCCCGGAGGCAGGAAAGGCUUCGGCCGGACAGGGAUGGGCAUGCGGCGCAUUAGGCAGUAGGCGGGGUAACGGCCCACCUAACCGACGAUGCGUAGGGGUUCUGAGAGGAAGGUCCCCCACACUGGUACUGAGACACGGACCAGACUCCUACGGGAGGCAGCAGUGAGGAAUAUUGGUCAAUGGUCGGGAGACUGAACCAGCCAAGCCGCGUGAGGGAUGAAGGUACAGAGUAUCGUAAACCUCUUUUGUCAGGGAACAAAGGCGGGGACGUGUCCUCGGAUGAGUGUACCUGAAGAAAAAGCAUCGGCUAACUCCGUGCCAGCAGCCGCGGUAAUACGGAGGAUGCGAGCGUUAUCCGGAUUUAUUGGGUUUAAAGGGUGCGCAGGCGGUCUGUUAAGUCAGCGGUCAAAGCCCGGGGCUCAACCCCGGCCCGCCGUUGAAACUGGCAGUCUCGAGUUGGAGAGAAGUAUGCGGAAUGCGCGGUGUAGCGGUGAAAUGCAUAGAUAUCGCGCAGAACUCCGAUUGCGAAGGCAGCAUGCCGGCUCCACACUGACGCUGAGGCACGAAAGCGUGGGUAUCGAACAGGAUUAGAUACCCUGGUAGUCCACGCAGUAAAC